CGAGCAGGUACCUGGGCCCACCUCAGUCGGAAAGGCCCGAAUGCUUGAACUCUGUCCUUUUUAUCGAUUCUGCCCUUACUAGGUCCCUAUUAAGGUCCACUAACACACUCUGAGUGUGUGCCUUACCCUUGCACGAUACUGGACCGGCGCCAGAACAGGCCUGCGGCGGGGGACGCCCCUGGCGGCUCGCGGAGCCCCGGCCCUUGCGCUCCGCUGCCCCGGGGAAGUGGCGGCUGCGACCCGCGGAGCCAGGGGCCGCGGGGCCCUGCGGGGAGGCUCCGAGCCGUUCCCGGGAAUCCCGCGCUCCCGGGGCCCCGUCCCUCGGCAACGGGGAUCGAGUCUCCGAGGGAGGCGCGCCUCGAGCGGGCGGGGGGGCACGUGUCGGGCAUCGCACGAGGACCUCCGGCUCCGGGAACCGCGUGACGGCUGCGUCAGCGCGGCGGGGCGGCGGCCCGGGAUGGGGCAGGCGUCUGCCCCUGUGAAGGUGCGCUCCGGGGGGAUUGACUUAUUUUGGAGGCUGUCCACGGAAAUUUUAGGGACAGUCAAGUGGCCCAAACGAAUGGGAUUAGAAUCUACAACUGCUCAUAAGAGGGAAUCAUUAAACAUAAUUUUGACUUGAUUGUCAAAAGAAACAUGCUCAAAGGAAAACGAAGAAAGAAAAAUCAUCUUACUCUCCUAAAACCUACUGGAAGCUAAAUUUAAAGAGUGUGUAUCAAGUAGUUGAAAAUAUCUCAAAUCCUCCAGCUAAGAAAAAAAAAAAAAAUCAAAAUCCCUAAUAGGAGCUCCUGGGUGGCUUCAUCAGUUGAGCUUCCGGCUCUUGAUUUCCACUGGGGUCAUGAUCUCAGGGUUCUGAGAUGGAGAAGGGUCUGCAGUGGGGAGUGGGGUGGGGUGGCU
rnacentral:lncRNA from 1 species